AUGUUCGAGUACUGUCAUAUUGCCAAUAGGAUGUUUCAUAGCGAGGAUGAAGCUUAUAGAUUCUAUAAAAAAUAUGCUCUUCAGAGAUGUUUUAUUGUGGGGAGAAGCUAUGUUGAGUGGGAUGGAUCCAACAAUCAUAUAAAUUUAAAGAAAAUUACCUGUAGUCGUGAUGGGUUCGAGAAGAGAAGCACAUGAAAGGAAGAUGGAAGAUAGAAAGAGGAGGCACAGAGUAUAACUCGUGUUGGAUGUAAAGCUAAAUUGGUCAUUGCAAGAGAGGAAGAAACAUGUCAGUAGUUUGUGAAGGAUUUCAUCGAUGAACACAACCAUCCUCUAGCCCCACGAGAUCUCUCGUGUCUUUUGCAUUCACGCGGAAGAAUUAGCAAUGAGCAGAAAGCGGACAUUACAUGGAAAAAGUCUGGGAUCCGUAAACACCAUAUUAUGGAUAUUUUGUGCAUUCAAUACGGUGGAUGUGAUCAGGUUGGACGCACGAGGAGGGACAUUUACAAUUUCUGCCAUGCUAGUAAGCAGGAAUCAAUCGCUGUCGGUGAUGCUCAAACGGUGAUCAGCCACAUGAUGGUGCGGUGAGAGCGAGAUCCAGAUUUUUUCUUCGGGUACUUGGUUGAUGAACUUGGCCAUUUGAAGGGACUGUUCUGGUCUGAUAGUCAAUCCCAACUUGACUACGAUGCUUUCGGAGACACUAUUUUUUAUAGCACAUAUAGAACCAAUAAGUACAAUCUACCAUUUGUGCCGUUUGUCGGGUUGAAUCACCACCGCAACACUGUUAUCUUUGGAUGUGGUAUCAUUUCCUAUGAAACAAGCUAGACAUACGAGUGGAUGUUGCGAAACUUUUCUGAUGCCAUGGGAUAGAACCAUCUGAUAUCUGUGCUCACGGACGAGGACCUGACAAUGCAGAGAGCAAUCAGGGUGGUCUGGCAUGACUCAAACCUUAAGUUGUGUAUAUAGCACAUUCAGCAGUACAUUGUACAUCAUCUGCAUGAUGACGUGGCAAAGGAGGAAUUUAGAUCUUUCAUACAUGAUUCAUCUUCCAUUUAAGAUCAUGAGAGAAAAUGGGUACAAUUCUCACAACGCAAUAAAGUAACAAGUGAGGAGUCCUGACUGCAUUAGAUGUAUCAGAUGAGAAAGUUGUGGUGUGCUCCAUCUCUUGAGGGGUGUUGUUUCCUAGGAUUGAGCAGCAAUCGGCGGAGUGAGAGCUUGAACUCUGUGCAUACGCAUCUUGAGGAUAAUAUGAUGUUGUUUCAAAUGCUAGAGCACUAUGAGCGUUGCAUUGCGUCACGACGCUUGAAUGAGGCUCUCCAAGACAUCGAUACCUUGUCCGUUCCAUUUACAGAGGAAAAUGCUUCAAGUCUUGUGAAACAUGCCACAAAGUUUAUCACUCCUACUAUGUUUAAGUUGGUCUUAUGAAGCAUAAAUGCUGGCAGCAAAUGUGUGAUUAGAGAGGUACUAGAUGCAUCAUAAGUUACCACCUAUGUUGUGUCUAAGAAGGAAAGAAUGAAUAAAAAAUUCAAAGUGCGCUGUGAGGAGCAGGAAGGUCUUUUACACAGGAUCAAUUGUUCUUGUCGUAAGGUGGAAUGCGCAGCACCAUCUUCCCACAUAUGUUACAUAUUUGAAAUUUUAUAAGAAGAAAGACUACCAAGGUGUUGUGUUCCCACUAGGUGGACAAUGCGUGCAAAAUUUGCAUACGCUCCGACCAGAAAGAACGAGAUGUAUGACUAUUUGGCAAGCUUGCAGAGGUACCGUCAGUUGCGGAAUUUUAGUCACGCAACAUGUUUCAAGGCAUCCACUCUGAUGAGGUGCGUCAGCGUCUAA
rnacentral:rRNA from 1 species